GGCGGCAGGCCUAAGACAUGCAAGUCGUACGCGAACGACCUCUCGGGGUUAAGUAGAGUGGCGAACGGGUUAGUAACGCGUGGGAACAUACACAGCACAGGGGGAUAACCAUUGGAAACGAUGGCUAAUACCGCAUACGCCCUAUUGGGGAAAGAUUUAUCGGUGUUGGAUUGGCCCGCGUUAGAUUAGCUAGUUGGUGGGGUAAUGGCUCACCAAGGCGACGAUUUAUAGCUGGUUUGAGAGGAUGAUCAGCAACACUGGAACUGAGACACGGUCCAGACUCCUACGGGAGGCAGCAGUCGGGAAUAUUGUGCAAUGGGGGCAACCCUGACACAGCCAUGCCGCGUGAGUGAAGAAGGCCUUAGGGUUGUAAAGCUCUUUCAGAUGUGAGGAUGAUGACGAUAGCAUCAGAAGAAGCUCCGGCUAACUUCGUGCCAG
rnacentral:rRNA from 1 species